GACGAACCGAGCGAACGUUAUUCGGAAUCACUGGGCUUAAAGGGUGCGUAGGCGGGUCUGUAAGUCAGGGGUGAAAUCCCACGGCCCAACCGUGGAAGUGCCUCUGAUACUGCGGGCCUGGAGGGGGAUAGGGGCGUGCGGAACUUCCGGCGGAGCGGUGAAAUGCGUAGAUAUCGGAAGGAACACCGGUGGCGAAAGCGGCGCGCUGGAUCCCUACUGACGCUGAGGCACGAAAGCCAGGGGAGCAAACGGG
rnacentral:rRNA from 1 species